AUUGAACGCUGGCGGCAGGCCUAACACAUGCCAGUCGAGCGAGCGGCGGACGGUUGAGUACUGUCUGGGAAACUGCCUGAUGGAGGGGGAUAACUCCUGGAAACGGUCGCUCAUCCCGCAUACCAUCAGAUUUGCCCAGAUGGGAUUAGCUCGAAGGUGGGGUAAUGGCUCACCUAGGCGACGAUCCCUAGAUGGUCUGCGAGGAUGACCAGCCACACUGGCACUGAGAAACGGCCCAGACGCCUACGUGAGGCAGCAGUGGGGAAUAUUGCACAAUGGGCGCAAGCCUGAUGCAGCAAUGCCGCGUGUGUGAAGAAGGCCUUCGGGUUGUAAAGCACUUUCAGCGGUGAGGCGUUACCCGCAGAAGAAGCACCGGCUAACUCCGUGCCAGCAGCCGCGGUAAUUC
rnacentral:rRNA from 1 species